GGAGAACGGGUGAGUAACACGUGGGAUAAUCUGCCCUCGGCACGUGGGAUAGCCCGGGGAAACCCUGGAUUAAUACCGGAUAGCCUUUCGAGCCUUCGGGCUCGUCAGAAAAGGUGGCUUCGGCUUCCUGGCUGAGGAUGAGCCCGCGGCGGAUUAGCUUGUUGGUGGGGUAAUGGCCUACCAAGGCGACGAUCCGUAGCUGGUCUGAGAGGACGAUCAGCCACACUGGGACUGAGACACGGCCCAGACUCCUACGGGAGGCAGCAGUGGGGAAUCUUGCGCAAUGGGCGAAAGCCUGACGCAGCGAAGCCGCGUGCGGGAAGAAGGCCUUCGGGUUGUAAACCGCGUUUCAGGAGGGACGAAGCCACUCGGGUUAAUAGCCCAGAGGGGUGACGGUACCUCCAGAAGAAGCCCCGGGUUAAACUACGUGCCAGC
rnacentral:rRNA from 1 species